CCUCUUCCCCUCCUCCAUCAGCCCCCUCCUCUUCCCCCCUUGCACAGUCCCUCUACUCCCUCCCAUCAGCCCUUCCUCCUCCUCCUCCUCCUCCUCCUCGGUCCCCGCUCCAGCAGCCCCUCCUCACCUCCACCUCCUCCAGCAACCCCCCUUCCCCUCCACCAGCCCCUCCUCACCUGCUCCAUCAGCCCCUCCUCCCCUCUUCAGCCCCUCCUCCCCUCUUCAGCCCCUCCUCCCCUCAUCAGGCCCUCCUCCUCCUCCCCAGCCCCCUCCACCAGUCCCUCUCCCUCCUCCACCAGCCCCUCCUCCCCUCCAUCAGGCCCUCCUCCCCUCAUCAGCCCCUCCUUCCAUCCUCCACCAGCCCCUCCUCCCCUCCACCAUCAGGCCCUCCUCCCCUGCCCCCUCCCCCUCCCCUCAUCAGGCCCUCUUCCUCCUCCUCCUCCUCCCCCCCCAGCCCCCUCCAACAGUCCCUCUCCCUCCUCCACCUCCUCCUCCAAUCAGCCCCUCCUCCCAGCCCUCUCCAUCAGCCCCAUCUCCCCCCCAGCCUAUCUCCCUCCAUCAGCCCCUCCUCCCGUCCCUCUCCUCCCCCCACCUCCUCCAUCAGCUCCUCCUCCCUUCCCCCCUCCCCCAUCAUCCCCUCCUCCCCCUUCUCCCCUCCUCCAUCAUCCCUUCCUCCCCCUCCCCCCUUUCUCCCCCCCUCCCCUUUUCUCCCCCCUUCUCCCCUCCUCCCCAUCAGCUGAGCGCUCACCUCCUCCAAGAAGCCUUCCCAGGCUGAGCUCCCCCUCCCUCCCCUUCCCUCUCCCCCCUCCCUCUCCCCCCCUCCUCCCUCCCUUUCCCCACCUCCUCCUCCCCUUCCCUCUCCCCCCCCCCUCCCUCCACCUCCCUUUCCCCACCUCCUCCAUCCCCCCCUCCCCUCUCCCCCCCUCUCCCCACCUCCUCCCUCCCUUCCCUCUCCCCCCUCCCUCUCCCCACCUCCUCCUCCCCUUCCCUCUCCCCCCUCCCUCUCCCCCCUCCCCCUCCCUCCCCUCUCCCCCCUCCCUUUCCCCACCUCCUCCCUCCCUUCCCUCUCCCCCUCCCCCUCCCUCCCCCACCUCCUCCCUCCCCUUCCCUCUCCCCCCUCCCUCUCCCCCUCGCAGUCGGUGA
rnacentral:lncRNA from 1 species